rnacentral:rRNA from 1 species
GACGAACGCUGGCGGCGUGCCUAAUACAUGCAAGUCGAGCGAACCAUCCGGAACCUGUUCCGGAUGGUUAGCGGCGGACGGGUGAGUAACACGUGGGCAACCUGCCUGUAAGACUGGGAUAACACCGGGAAACCGGUGCUAAUACCGGAUAAUCCUUUCCCUCUCAUGAGGGAGAGUUGAAAGUCGGAUUCGGCUGACACUUACAGCUGGGCCCGCGGCGCAUUAGCUAGUUGGUGAGGUAACGGCUCACCAAGGCGACGAUGCGUAGCCGACCUGAGAGGGUGAUCGGCCACACUGGGACUGAGACACGGCCCAGACUCCUACGGGAGGCAGCAGUAGGGAAUCUUCCACAAUGGACGAAAGUCUGAUGGAGCAACGCCGCGUGAGCGAUGAAGGCCUUCGGGUCGUAAAGCUCUGUUGUUAGGGAAGAACAAGUACCGGAGUAACUGCCGGUACCUUGACGGUACCUAACCAGAAAGCCACGGCUAACUACGUGCCAGCCGCCGCAGUAACAC